UGCCCUUUUAUUUUCCGCAAA
rnacentral:piRNA from 1 species